ACUCAACAACCCGACGGCAGCGGAAACAAACAGCAGAAAGACGGGCGACUCCCGCGCAUCUGACAUGCGUUUGUUUCGUCGCGUAGCUCCGAGCGACAGAGGCCAAUUACAUCGGCAGCCGGGUGACCUUUACCAUGCAGAUGAGCCGUGUGUGUGUGUGUGUGUGUGUGUGUGUGUGUGUGGCCGGUAAACAUUAAUGGGAGCGGAACAGCGGAGCUAUAAUGACGUGCGGAUCGUUAGAGGCUUGUUAAAGAGCGCGAGACUGAGGGGUAUUAAAGAGCAAUCAUUUUAAAGUGCUUGAACACUGGAUUGUGCUUCCCAACAACAUGAGAUACAUUUACCGUGUGGACUUUUUAAAGUUACUAGCAAAAAUAUGGGUUCCAGUGGACAUUAUUAUUUGGUCAUUGUAAAGGUCAGCAUGCCAGAGAUGGAAAAGGGACAGCCGCUUCUGUUGCCGUGGGGAUGGUCCAGACAUGUUAUCAGAAUCCACGUCUGAGAUAGCAAUGAGGUCUCGAUGGUGAUGCACGUGUAUCUUUGAAAAUAAUGCAGGUGAGAAAGAACACAGCUGUCACGUUCGGCACAGGCAUCGCAGGUGAGCUGAACUUGUGUGUCUUUUAGUUCAUUUGUGGAUGAUCUGUCUUUUAAGAUGUGAUUUAACUUUCAUAUGUUAAAUUUGUCACAAAUAGGCCUUUAUAAAGACCACGCAAUUGCACAUUUUUACACAUUUCACCAGAUCAGUUCUGGCUAAAGAGAACUGCGCUCUAGCAUUUGUUAACUGUGACUGGCAUAUUGGUCUAGGUGGAGAAAAUAAUGAGGUAAAUUGAACUCGAGCGAACCGCACGCACGCACGCGAGGUCUUUCGUAACUGUGCGGAUGAACACGCACACUGUCGCGUGAAACGAAAUUCUUUCCGCACGCGCACAGGCAGAGCUGGGGGAGGCCUGGCACAGGCACCGCGCGUUGGCACAGAGAUUGUCUCUGCAUGCCCUCUGAAUAUCGGCCGAUCUGCCCCGACAACGAUCUCUGUGUGUGUGUGUGUGUGUGUGUGUGCGUGUGUGUGUGUGUGUGUGUGUGUGUGUGUGUGUGUGUGUGUGUGAGAGAGAGAGAGUGUGAGUGUGAGAGCGUUAUUACAGCGAUAAAGGAACUUCAACCGGAUUAUACGAAUAAAUCGCGAUGCGCGGUGUUAAACGGGACUCCGUCCCGGCAGACUGGAUCUACUUUCGUAGGCUCGUUUGCUCGGCACUCUUUUGAUCGGCGUCGCUCUCUCUCACCCUCCCUCUCUCUCUCUUUUCCUCUCGUCAUUAAUCUCGUGGCAGCGCUGCAGGAAACAGCUUUCACAGGCAGCUGGAAUUUCAUCUCCUCCCUUGGUCUUUAUUACUCUUCCACUCAACCCGUCCCUCGUUCACCCUCUCGCUGUCUCCCUCCCUCUCUCCCUCCCUCCGUUUAUUACGGCGCUCUAAUCACUCGCGCAGGUAACUCGCCCACAGUACAGCCGGCCUUCACGGCACCUUUACGCACACACACAAACAGGAUCCCGGGCUCAUAAACUAACGCACCCGCACACACACUUAAAUCGCACACGCCGUGGGUUCUUCUCUCAGAAGGGCAGGGUAAGUGACGGGGGGGUUGGCUCGGAAUGAUAAAAGAGAGCGGAAAAUACGGAGAUCGUGAUUAGAGAGAGAGAGCGCGAGAGGGAUGCGACGCGCUUGGAUACGGAGAGCGGCGGUGCGCCAGCUCCCCCUAGCGACCAAUAAUAGAACUGCACUCCCGUCAGCGCGUUCGGGUCUGCGCUGUAUACAAGUUGCUUUAUAUAACCCACAUUUUUUCCAUUUAUUUACACAAAUUGUUACUUACAUAGGCCAUAAGUUUGUAUUUCUUUAUUAAAGAGGAUUUUUUUAACCCUUUCACAUGAUUCAUACAAAGUAUCCAAAUGUAUUUAACUCUAUAAAUAAAACAUCUAUUUUUCAUCCUAUAUAUUUCUUUCACACUCGUUUUCUUCACAAACUACUAUUAACAGUCUGUUGGUCUCACUCGUAGGCUGGGCGUUAUUCACACUCGCUCCGACACAUCUGUGCGCGCUCACGCGCUAAUGUGAGCGCUGUUUUUCACAGGGUGCAACCCCGCAACUGCGUGUCUCUGUGUUGCAUCACAACGUUUAAUCAGCACUUCGCGCAUCAAACAGCUCAUUUUAGGAAGAGCAUUACUGGAAACAGUGUAUCUCUGGCCACUGUCUGAGUCACAAAUCUCAUUUAUACAAAACCGGAUAUCUGUUUAUUUUUUUCAGAGCAUGUUCCGAGACGCUUGUGCGGGUGACGCAGGAUCGAGUCCGGUCUGCAACGUGUAUUGUUCCCUUCGAGAUUUAUUGGGAUGACUGUAAAACUAAAUAAUAGCACAGAACAAAUUUGCAUUUAUAAAUGGAAAAUAAUUAAAAUAAUAAUGGUCAAAAUUUUAUAGGCCUAACAUGCAGAAGAAAACACACACACAAAAAAACAUUCCUAUUCAGUCUUUGCAAACCAUUAUAAAAUGUAAUGGAAUAAACUUUUAUCGAAUGAAAAUACUUGAGUCAUCUAUAUAUUUUAUAUCCAGAUGAUCGGAAAGAGAGGAGGCACUCAUUUAUUGCUCAGGGGAAUGACUCGGGGGCAUGGAACACACAUUCUCUCUGUCUCGAUAUGCAUCGGCUCUUGGCUCGGCUGAUCGUAGUGUGUCGUGCUGCGUCUCCUGCAAACAGGCAGACAAAUAAACAGUUGGCAGAAUCUGCAGUGUGUGUGAGUGUGUGUCCCUGGCAGGACACUUUGCUCGCCCGCGCUGUUAAAUCCUCUUAUUUCCAUCCACCUGUGUAGCUGAAAACAGAGAGAAACCCAACCACCAUCAUCUCCCCAAAACACAAGAAACCGUGUCAGUGGAUACAGCAUAAGGGAAAUCUGCCUGUCUGUCUCUCCAUAUUUUGUCUGUCUACCUGUCUUUGUCUGUCUGUCAGUUUUUUUGUAUAACUGCCUGUCUGUCUGUCCAUAUUUUGUCCGUCUCUACCCUGUUGAAAAAUCAGCAUAUGUUAUGUAUGUUUUGAUGCUGGUUUGACCAGCUUAAACCAGCACACAACCAGCAUCAAAACAUACCAAACCAGCACAUUUUUUCAACAGGGCACCUGUCUAACUUUCUUUCUCCUCAUAAAGGCGCUCUGCGAUUCCGCGAUGACAGAACCAGCGCAGCAGCAUUUCACUGUUUCCUGCGCUCUGCCUCGAGCGCACAAGAAAUCAAAGACGUGAGAUUUACAAGCAGCAGAAACUUCCCCGAGGGAAAUACCAGCUUUGCGUGUGGCUGCUACCGCCCACAAACGCACACACAUGCUAACAAACACACAUACUGCGGUAAACCACUGGCAAGUGCCAUACCAAUAUUCAUGCUAUACUGACCUACAGAUGAUACACGAGUGUACACGCAUACACAAAAGCAAAUUCUUUAACCUGACCUCUUAUUCAUUUUUAAUUUUCUAAAAUUACACGCACACAGUGCUGCAUUCUUCAGUCUGUUCAGACAUGAACUCGUGACUCCGGCAACCGUUUUACAAACUGAAUCGCAUUCAAAUUGCACUGUUUCCGCAGUAUGCAUGUAGUGGACAGUGAGUGAAUUUUUACUUUUCACACUCGGAUGAUCUACUAAAACGGCAAUUUGUCCAAAAAAGUGAAACGCGUACCGCAUCCCACAAUGCAAAGCGUUGCUCUCGAGCUGCGGUUUACACCAGCAUCAUCAACCAUGACCGUCGAAAGUAAUUUUCGAAACUAAAAUAAGUUCGAAUUGUCAAACAGCUCCAUUUAUUUAAGUUAAAAAGUCCUAACCUGCAUGGGUGUGUAAAAAUGUGGCAUUGGAUGGCACCUAUCUGAUUGAUGGCACUGCCGUCCAAUGGCGUUUGAGCACCAUGUGUUUAAAGCUUUAAAUGUCAACUAGAGAGCAGCACACACACACAGACACACAUGCUACAGAACAAGAAGGGCAGCUGUGUGCCGACACACAAUUCCCCACAAAACCCACACAUACAUACAGCGUGUGUGGGAAUUAAAUAGAGCAUGCUGACCACGAGGGUAAAGUCAUUAUGAUGGCCGAACACGCGCUGCACACAGAAAACUCACAUUGGUUUUUGGUUGAUGCAACCACAACACAAUCGAGCAGAUUUGACUUGUAGUCAAUCCAUAUUUUCUCAGUUUUAACAUUGUCGGCUUUCUCGCUCCUACUGUAGUUGGCGUAUUAGUAGUACGGUAUUAGCAAUCGCUAAUGUGCGUAUUUAGCUUCACACCUCAUCUGCGCUGAGAGCGAGUGAUACGAAGAUGAAAAAUGCCAUUUGUGCAUACAUUGUCCUUUGAACACUAUUCACGUUCAGUAAAAUGAGUUGGACUGAAAUUUGUCUUUCACAAAGAGAUACUUUGAUCAUUUCUGUCACAGCGCUCAACCUUCAUUGGUCAUCCCAUCUGUCCCGAGGCUGGGCAACAAUGAACCCGCUGCUCCGCAGCUCGCUCACAGGGACUUGUAUUCUCGAACCUCUCAUGGGCCUCCCAGCGGAGCUGCGCGAGGGGGCCCUGUCAGGCAGCGCUCUGGCCUGAGGCCCGGACCACACGCACACACACACAGAGCUCCGUGACAGCAGGCAGAGUGCUUGGCACUGCCAGGCGUCAGACGGGGGCAGGUCGGAAUGUCAGCGGGCGGCAACGGCUGCCACGGCAACAGAUCCAUCUGUGUCUGCGGAGGGAGAUUCCAUUACCGUGACGAUGGGUUACAUCAUUCAUGCACACUGCACUGAUUUCUCUCUGUUAUGGGUGACUGUUACAGGAACUUCACAUCUCAGUGAUGUUUUUAUUGUAAUUAAAUAUAAACAUUUAUUAUUAUUAUACUUUAAGUAUUUGUAUUAUUUAUGUCAUUAAUGUUUAGAGGUUUUCUUUUAAGUUCUGCAGAAGAAAGAAGGUUUGGAAUGACAUGAG